rnacentral:tmRNA from 1 species
GGGGAUGUCUUUGGAAUUCGACUGAAAAUCGUAGUUUAUGCUUGCACGCCAGAGACGACACUUGGCUCUGUAAAAAUGUGUCAAAAACACUAUAAAUGGCGAAGAAUACGCUAUUGCCGCCUAAUUGACGCGGCACGUCGGCUCCCUGACACCCGAUACGGGAAAUCCGGCGUCGACAUCGGGUAAAGAGGCUUGGGCUGUUCGGGCAGGGUUUCAAGCCGCUAAUUUCUGUUCGAUAGUUUUUCCGCGGCAGUUUUGGCCUAACGGAAAGACGAAUUUAAAUCAAAACUACGCGUUGUAGACGGUAUAUCCGAAAGUUUUUAGGACGAGGGUUCGACUCCCUCCAUCUCCACCA